CCGGUGUGGCCGUUGCUGCGCACUCGCUUCGGUUCUUUUUAAUGGGAGUGAAGAGAAGAGGAAGCUUGUGUAGCCAUAUGGAUGCAGUCACUGAUAGAUGGAUGAAGAUCAGACGAACGAAACAUUUAUCCGACACAUACGCACACUAUGUGUAAAUAAAAACCACUAAAACCAUUACGUUUGAACCAAAAUGUUGAAGUUCUGAAACAGUUGGCAAAAGAAUCAGACGACAGAAAGGGAGCCAAGGUUAAGUACUUCAGGGCGAGCUGACACUUGCGAGCCAGACGCCCCGUGCUGAAGCUCUCGGAUCACCACGUCGCUGCCCUCGCCGCCGAUCCCUGGUGCGCCAAGCCUCGUUUGCCCCAUUGACGAGCACAUCUCCGGACGUUCUCGCUGUCGCAUCACCUGCCGACACCCUUCUGUUCUCUACUGCAACUUGGGUCGUGUCCGCCGCCUCGUCCGCUGGUGACUGCCGCCUGACGUCCUCGCCGCAUCUCGCCGCAUCUCGCCUCACUCACCACACCUGAUGCCCUGUGCUGGUGACCCUGGCAAGAAUGAUCCUGUCUUGCCUGUCGAAACUCGUGACGCCAUCAACAUGGUGCUCUUCCUCUCCCGAGAUGACGAAUCCUUCCUGCCAAUGAUGUGAUCUUGAUUCUUCGAAGACCUCGUUCUCAAAAUUCUCUGCUCAGUCUUUGUUCUCCUCACCAACAAGCGAUACAGUGACCCGUUCUCGUGAUGUCUCUCACCUCUUACAGUAAUUCCACUGUCCUCAGCCGACUCCAACAGGUCUACAGCCUUGACAAUGACAAAGUGACCUUAGAACACACUAAUUCCACCCUUAUUGUUUGCAAAUAAUUCCCAUGUUGUCAUUUUUAUGUCUUUGUGUAAACACCAUAAUUCUCUUCUUACACACAACUGUAUAUAAGGUACCCUUGUUCCUUCAUCACGAAACCACCAUGUGACCAUAUGUAUCAGAAUUUGUUUUCAUUCAAAUUCUUUCAUGUUUUCUAUUAUGAAAUGUUUCAAAACGAUGUUUGUUCAUGGAAAUUUCUGAGCAGUUAAGACAGACUGCUCGCAGACCGGAGGCAGGCAGGACGCCUCGCCUUACCUGGGCGUCCCUGCCUUGCCCGUCCUCCGUAUGCCAACUACCAUACCUGUGUUAAUAAAACCAUUGAAGCAU